GACUGGUCUGAAGGCAGUCAGUUAUCUCAAUUGAUUGUUCAGUUACAGCCUGAACUCCUUUUUCAACUAUUUCCUCCCUUCUCAUUACUGCACUUGAUCAGUCUUAA
rnacentral:Y_RNA from 1 species